GGCCUUGUUGGUAUAGUGGUAGCAGGCGCUCCUGUUAUGGGUGAAACGCGGGUUCAACUCCCGACUGGGUUCA